rnacentral:hammerhead_ribozyme from 1 species
AUCCAGCUGACGAGUAGAGGAUAGGACGAAAUGGCCAUCCUGGAU